CUCAUUUUAUUGAUAAAAAUAAGAUGAGUCAAAGAAAUGCAAUUUAAAAAUAACGGAAAUAAAAAUGUCACUAAUGGCUCGUGGCCUUAUUAAAUUAUGAAAGCAGAAAAUAAAAGAUCCUAACUACUUGGUCCCAGAAGGACCGUCCCCUGAUUCGGUAUUCUCGCCUCCCUCGUACAGCUCCAUCAACUCGCACAGUCCUAAUAGAAAAAGGGCUCGGGCCAGAUGCCCAUCCGCACUUCCCUCUGUAUUUUGGCAGUCUUCAAUCCUAUUCAAAAGCUUUCCUUCCGGCUCUACUAGACCUCGUUCCAGAUACCUUAACCGCUUGUUAGUGUUGACAGCCAUAUCCUUCCACUCGUCGAUCAAUUUCUGGUGAGCUUCUUGUAUUUCUCGGUGUUGCAUUCCCGAAUUCUUCUACACAAUUGAUUGUAUUUAACUUGCGCUUUAGCCUUUUCAUCAAUAAGCUUGUGACCUUGGACGAAUCCCGGAUGACCCAAACCAGUGUGAUUGUCUUCCAACCAACCCGAAUAAUGUGGCACACAUCCUGCAU
rnacentral:lncRNA from 1 species